ACAAGAUGGAUCCCUCCUUCGCCCGGAGUGGCAAAACUGAGAGUGGACGGGGCUCUUUCCAGGGAUUUGAGCACAGGAUCCUUUAGCGCUGUGUGUAGAAAUUCCGAUGGUGUGUUUCUGGGGGCUUCAUGCAUGACAUAUAAUGGAUUGUCUGAUCCAGCUACUUUGGAGGCGUUAGCAUGCCGCGAAGUGUUGGCACUGGCAGCAGAUCUUCAGUUGAUGCGAGUGCUGAUUGCUUCUGACUGCCAAGGGGUUGUUAGAGCUAUUCAAGAAGGCACGGGUGGAAUUUAUGCACCGGUUGUAAAGGAAAUCAGAGAUUCCAUAGUUGAUUUUCAACAGUGUUCCUUCAUCUUCGAAGGACGAGAGACAAAUGUCGAGGCACAUAGCCUUGCUAAACAUGCUUUUGGUCUGGGGCCCGGGCGCCAUCUGUGGCUUAUAAACCCGCCAGACAUCGAUUGUAUUCCUAUGAACUUUGAUUAA
rnacentral:rRNA from 1 species